UGGAAAUCAAAAUUUGUUAUU
rnacentral:piRNA from 1 species